AGUGUAGGUGGUUGUCAUAGUCAGGUGUGAAAGCCUUGAGCUCAACUCAAGAAAUGCACUUGAUACUGGGCGACUAGAGGACCGGAGAGGAUAGUGGAAUUCCCAGUGUAGUGGUGAAAUACGUAGAGAUUGGGAAGAACACCAGUGGCGAAAGCGGCUAUCUGGACGGUUUCUGACACUAAGACUCGAAAGCGUGGGGAGCAAACA
rnacentral:rRNA from 1 species